UUCUUGAAACUGGUCUGUUUGGUAGAGAUACAUUUGUCUUGUAGGAUUGUAUAUGCUGAUGAAUUCACAUUCUUUUGUUCUCUUCAAUUUUAGGGUUCGACAUCAAUCUCUAGUGCCGAUCUCUUUGGCCACGAUGCCAGUAAUUCAUCUGUUGACCUCACAGCAAACGAUCUCAUUAAUCGUCUCUCUUUUCAGGUACAAAAGGGGNUUGGCCACGAUGCCAGUAAUUCAUCUGUUGACCUCACAGCAAACGAUCUCAUUAAUCGUCUCUCUUUUCAGGUACAAAAGGGGCAUGUUUGGUGCACUGAAUUAUUUUGUAAUGGAGGAGACAACUUAAAUUUUUUUAACUUUUUUCCUUAGUCCUCCUGCCCACUAAACUUACCCAGGCGUAUACGUUGGGCAUGUUUGUUCGGAUUUAUUUUCCUUUUGAUUUCUCACACCCCCUCCUUAAUAUAUAUCUUUCUCGUAUAUCACGGUCUCUUUUUGGUUUUUAUAUUUGCCGAUCUUACGGUAUCCAAUAUUUAACUCCUCG
rnacentral:lncRNA from 1 species